rnacentral:rRNA from 1 species
UACGUAGGGGGCUAGCGUUGUCCGGAUUUAUUGGGCGUAAAGAGCGUGUAGGCGGCCAGGUAGGUCCGUUGUGAAAACUCGAGGCUCAACCUCGAGACGUCGGCGGAAACCAUCUGGCUAGAGUCCGGAAGAGGAGAGUGGAAUUCCCAGUGUAGAGGUGAAAUUCGUAGAUAUUCGCAAGAACACCAGUGGCGAAGGCGGCUCACUGGCCCGGUACUGACGCUGAGGUGCGAAAGCGUGGGGAGCAAACAGG